UACAUAGGGUCCGAGCGUUGUCCGGAAUUACGGGGCGUAAAGAGCUCGUAGGUGGUUUGUCGCGUUGUUCGUGAAAACUCACAGCUUAACUGUGGGCGUGCGGGCGAUACGGGCAGACUGGAGUACUGCAGGGGAGACUGGAAUUCCUGGUGUAGCGGUGGAAUGCGCAGAUAUCAGGAGGAACACCGGUGGCGAAGGCGGGUCUCUGGGCAGUAACUGACGCUGAGGAGCGAAAGCGUGGGGAGCGAACAGG
rnacentral:rRNA from 1 species